GAGGGGCGCUUUCAUUGUCCUUGUUUUAGAGAUGAGGAAACUGAAGUACAAGUGACUGAGUUACUCAAGCUGCAGAGCUUAGAAGUGUGGAGCUGGAGCUGGGAUUUGAUCCAAGAACAGAGCCGGUGUCCAACCCCUUUGCAGAUGUUAUUGGUGGCAGGAGAGCCAUUUGGUGCCAGCUGUAACUGCAAAGCUCACUGCGGCCCAAGGGAUGGCACACUGGUCUGCCGCCUCCUGGAAGGCUGGGAGUUUCUGUCAGCUGUGUUGCAACUCACAGAAUCCUUGCCACCUGCUUUGGGAUUCUCCUUGCCUGGUUCAUUCUGAAAUGAGGUGGUUGGAAGCCUUACAUCAAGAGGAAUGGGGGCCACCGUGACCAGAGUGCCCACCUUUGAACUGCAGGUGAGGUCCAGGCCUUGGAGGUCAGGGGCUGGUGGGUAGACUGAACCCCUUCGGCUGGAACCUAGCCCUUUGGGAUCCUGCGUGAGGGGGGCUGGCUGGGGAUGAGGUUCCGCUCUUUGUAGGAGUUUGGACCUUGGUGUGCCUGCUCCUUAGCCUGAAACAGCCCUCUGGCAGUUGGAAGGCAUGGCAGGGAAAAAACCCUGUUGACAGUUCAAGCUUUUGAUCUUUUUUUUUUUAUUAUUAUUAUUUUUUAUUUUUUUUUUCAACGUUUUUAUUUAUUUUUGGGACGGAGAGAGACAGAGCAUGAACGGGGGAGGGGCAGAGAGAGAGGGAGACACAGAAUCGGAAACAGGCUCCAGGCUCUGAGCCAUCAGCCCAGAGCCUGACGCGGGGCUCGAACUCAGGGACCGCGAGAUCGUGACCUGGCUGAAGUCGGACGCUUAACCGACUGCGCCACCCAGGCGCCCCAAGCUUUUGAUCUUUUUGAUUUGUAGGGUCAAUAGGCCAGUAUUAUCUGAAGUAAAAAUAACCGUGCUCAUCGAGAGAAAAAAAAAAAAAAAAAAAAAAAAAAAGAAAAUGCAGAUAAAUAUAAUGAAGACUAAAUUAAGUAACAAUACAUUUAAUAAAUAACUGAAAAAUUUGCA
rnacentral:lncRNA from 1 species